rnacentral:rRNA from 1 species
AGUGAACGCUGGCGGUAGGCCUAACACAUGCAAGUCGAACGGCAGCACAGGAGAGCUUGCUCUCUGGGUGGCGAGUGGCGGACGGGUGAGGAAUACAUCGGAAUCUACCUUUUCGUGGGGGAUAACGUAGGGAAACUUACGCUAAUACCCCUUCGAACCACGGGGGGAAGGUGGGGGACGGAAGGCCUCACGCGGUUUAAUGAGCCGAUGUCCGAUUAGCUAGUUGGCGGGGUAAUGGCCCACCAAGGCGACGAUCGGUAGCUGGUCUGAGAGGAUGAUCAGCCACACUGGAACUGAGACACGGUCCAGACUCCUACGGGAGGCAGCAGUGGGGAAUAUUGGACAAUGGGCGCAAGCCUGAUCCAGCCAUACCGCGUGGGUGAAGAAGGCCUUCGGGUUGUAAAGCCCUUUUGUUGGGAAAGAAAUCCUGUCGAUUAAUACUCGGUGGGGAUGACGGUACCCAAAGAAUAAGCACCGGCUAACUUCGUG